UACGGAGGGUGCGAGCGUUGUCCGGAAUCACUGGGCGUAAAGGGCGCGUAGGCGGCGCGGGAAGUCAUCGGUGAAAGUUCAGGGCUCAACUCUGAAUCGGCCGGUGAUACUCUCGUGCUCGAGCACUGUAGAGGCAGGUGGAAUUCCGGGUGUAGCGGUGGAAUGCGUAGAGAUCCGGAAGAACACCGGUGGCGAAGGCGGCAUCCUGGACCGGCAUUGACGCUGAUGAGCGAAAGCUAGGGGAGCAAACGGG
rnacentral:rRNA from 1 species